rnacentral:hammerhead_ribozyme from 1 species
ACACUGCUGAAGAGUCCCACAAUAAGACAAAAUAGCUGUCCAGUGU